UCUCACCUUAGAAGAUUUGAAGAAAUUUUGGGAAUUCUUAAAUAUGACGGCCAAGAAAAUGAAAAUAGAAGAUUAAGUAAAUAGUAAAACCAAUGAUCUAUUGAAAAUUAAAUUGGAAGAAGGAAGUUGUGGGAGCAGGUUUUUCUCUCGCAUGGGGUUGACUUUCUCUCCUUCCAAGUAGGCUGGUUAGUAAAGAUCUCUAAAAAUAUUAUUAAAGCACGAAAAACCUGCAUUUUUCUAUUACCUUGUCGUUUCGCAGCCACAGAUCUGCAUCUUCUGUUUCUUUUAAAAAUUAUUAAACAAAGAGCUCGGCGGGACUUUGAAAAAUCUGCAGUCUGCCUACAACAAAUAGUGGGUAUUGAACAUUCUCAUGAUAUAAAUGUCUUGGUUGAUUUAUGGGGAAGACCAUAUGGCCUGCCUCCACUGUACAUGAAUGAAGCAGUGGCAACAAAGAUGGGGGGGGGAGUAUGAUACAGAUGGAUAAAACAAGAAAAAAAAAAAAAAAAAGAUCAUUCCAAAAACAACAUGAAGAUAACAUAAUAACCACCAGCUCAUUGGAGUCUAAUAUGUUAUCUCCCUUACCCAAAACGCAGAAAAUAAAAUCACCUGUGAGUAAUCCUAGAUGCUGACCUGAAUGGCUUGACCAGAAGCAAGGAGCUGUUUGAGAAUGAAGAAGUAGCCACGAACGAAGACUGGGGGAAGCAACAAAGAAAGAAGGAAAUUAAAUGAAGGUGAUGUUAAUGGCGACGUAUGUGAUGUGAGCAUUGGUUGCACAGAAUUAGAAAGAGAGGGAAUGCAGAUCUCUCAUGGCGAAAAGUGGGGUUGGAAAUAAUAUUUAAGGGGGAUGUUGAGUUCCAAUCACGAUGAGUACCUUAAAUUAGCUUGUCGUGUUGGAAAUCAGAAUACCAAAUUAAUGCAUUUAUGACAGAGAUAGUUGAGUAGCGCGGUUUACAGGAAUUUAUGGGUUGCUAGAGAUAUAACAUAAAAUAUCAAAUAUGGGAGCUCAUUUCACAUGCUUAGUAAUGAAAAUGCCAUGUUGAUAAGGAAAUUCUGGCUCAUAAUGAGAUGUAACUGUCAUAUAUAAAACAUUAAUAAUAUUGAAUUAGAUUAUUAAAUUUCAUUGUUAUUAUUGUUUAAACUUUAUACCAAUGGAAAAAAA
rnacentral:lncRNA from 1 species